rnacentral:rRNA from 1 species
GAUGAACGCUGGCGGCGUGCCUAAUACAUGCAAGUCGAGCGAACAGACGAGGAGCUUGCUCCUCUGACGUUAGCGGCGGACGGGUGAGUAACACGUGGAUAACCUACCUAUAAGACUGGGAUAACUUCGGGAAACCGGAGCUAAUACCGGAUAAUAUAUUGAACCGCAUGGUUCAAUAGUGAAAGACGGUUUUGCUGUCACUUAUAGAUGGAUCCGCGCCGCAUUAGCUAGUUGGUAAGGUAACGGCUUACCAAGGCAACGAUGCGUAGCCGACCUGAGAGGGUGAGCGGCCACACUGGAACUGAGACACGGUCCAGACUCCUACGGGAGGCAGCAGUAGGGAAUCUUCCGAAAUGGGCGAAAGCCUGACGGAGCAACGCCGCGUGAGUGAUGAAGGUCUUCGGAUCGUAAAACUCUGUUAUUAGGGAAGAACAAAUGUGUAAGUAACUAUGCACGUCUGGACGGUACCUAAUCAGAAAGCCACGGCUAACUACGUG